rnacentral:rRNA from 1 species
CAGUCGCCGCGGUAAUACGAAGGGUGCAAGCGUUAAUCGGAAUUACUGGGCGUAAAGCGUGCGUAGGCGGUGAGUUAAGUCUGCUGUGAAAUCCCCGGGCUCAACCUGGGAAUGGCAGUGGAUACUGGCUCGCUAGAGUGUGUCAGAGGAUGGUGGAAUUCCCGGUGUAGCGGUGAAAUGCGUAGAGAUCGGGAGGAACAUCAGUGGCGAAGGCGGCCAUCUGGGACAACACUGACGCUGAGGCACGAAAGCGUGGGAGCAAACAGGAUUAGAUACCCGCGUAGUCCCUGUCUCUUAUACA